rnacentral:rRNA from 1 species
UGGGGAAUUUUGGACAAUGGGCGAAAGCCUGAUCCAGCAAUGCCGCGUGUGUGAAGAAGGCCUUCGGGUUGUAAAGCACUUUUGUCCGGAAAGAAAUCCUUGGCUCUAAUACAGUCGGGGGAUGACGGUACCGGAAGAAUAAGCACCGGCUAACUACGUGCCAGCAGCCGCGGUAAUACGUAGGGUGCAAGCGUUAAUCGGAAUUACUGGGCGUAAAGCGUGCGCAGGCGGUUUGCUAAGACCGAUGUGAAAUCCCCGGGCUCAACCUGGGAACUGCAUUGGUGACUGGCAGGCUAGAGUAUGGCAGAGGGGGGUAGAAUUCCACGUGUAGCAGUGAAAUGCGUAGAGAUGUGGAGGAAUACCGAUGGCGAAGGCAGCCCCCUGGGCCAAUACUGACGCUCAUGCACGAAAGCGUGGGGAGCAAACAGGAUUAGAUACCCUGGUAGUCCACGCCCUAAAACGAUGUCGACUAGUUGUUGGGGAUUCAUUUCCUUAGUACGUAGCUAACGCGUGAAGUUGACCGCCUGGGGAGUACGGUCGCAAGAUUAAAACUUAAAUGAAUUGACGGGGUCAUAGCUGUUUCCU